GAGUCACAGACUGGGAAAUCUCUGCAGGCAAAUGUGAUGUCUUUAUAGCAAUCUCACAAUUACCUGUAGAGAUUCUACAAUCUGGCAUC
rnacentral:pre_miRNA from 7 species